rnacentral:rRNA from 1 species
CUACGGGAUGCUGCAGUGGGGAAUAUUGCACAAUGGAGGAAACUCUGAUGCAGCAACGCCGCGUGGAGGAUGACACUUUUCGGAGCGUAAACUCCUUUUAUAUAGGAAGAAGAUGACGGUACUAUAUGAAUAAGCGCCGGCUAACUCCGUGCCAGCAGCCGCGGUAAUACGGAGGGCGCAAGCGUUACUCGGAAUCACUGGGCGUAAAGAGCGUGUAGGCGGAUUAAAAAGUCAGAAGUGAAAUCCUAUAGCUUAACUAUAGAACUGCUUCUGAAACUCUUAAUCUAGAAUAUGGGAGAGGUAGAUGGAAUUUCUGGUGUAGGAGUAAAAUCCGUAGAGAUCAGAAGGAAUACCGAUUGCGAAGGCGAUCUACUAGAACAUUAUUGACGCUGAGACGCGAAAGCGUGGGGAGCAAACAGGAUUAGAUACCCCGGUAGUC